AAACCGUGUUGUGGCCAUGAACUGACGAGAUCCUUGAACCGCUCCUAACACUAGAAGAAUGUUUCAUCUUCCUUUUGGUCGAAGUUCAUGAUCGAUUUUCUAAGGGU